GAAUAAGUGGGCAAACUUUUGAGUUGACUGAAAAGUACAAGAUUAAAUUUACGUUUUUAUAGAAAAACACAUAAUUAAAAAAUUGUUCAUUUAUUUAUAAACAGCUUCAUAUAAUGCUUUAUAAGUAUUUAGACUGAACAUUAUAAUCUUACAUAGAAUCCCAUCUAUAUUAAAGACUUCAAAAGGUAUUUAAUAGAAAAAAUAUAAAAAAGCUAAUCGUAAAUUCAUUACUGUAAUGGCUAAUUUAGUAUGAAACUUAAAGUGAUGAAGUCCCAAAAUCUGAUGCAUAUGCACAACUCUAUCUUUUUCGUGUUUAAUCCAAGUUUUUUUGGGUUUUGCUUUUGAUAAAUUGUCCCAAAAUGAGUUAUCCUCUGAGUAAACAAGUUAGAAGUGAGUCAAUGCUGUUGUUAUUUUAAAACUCAGAGGUUAUUCUUGAUGCUUUAAUAACGUUUCUUUUUAUUUAAAUUAUUCAUUUUUCUUAGAUAUUGAUAAAUGAUCAUGCCAAAUUAUAUAUAAUUUAAAUUUUAUAAACACAUAAUAUAUUUUUUUGUCUUUUAAAUUUUAUUAUUUAUUUUUUUUCUGAGGUUAAUAUAUGUCAAUUCAUAUAAAAGAACACAAUAAUAAAUAAAUAUAUUUGAUUACUUCAAUAAUUUAACUUGAAUAAAACCUGAAAGUAUAUAUGCAGUACUAAGUUAUGAUACUUAAAAGAGGUUGCACAAAACCUUACACCAAUUGUAAGAGACAAGUAAUAUAAUAUAAUACAAUUUAUUUAAAAGUUUCACAUAAUAAUGCAAUACCUCAUUUGGCGCUUCAACUAAUAUCACCACAUCUAAAAUGUCAUUUAAUGAAAUAAUUUUAGAGAAAGAAAAGGCAAACAAACCUUAUUAAGUUUCUUUGAUAUAAAUCCUUAUUUAGUAGCAAAAAAAAUUUAAGUUGUUACUCAUAUAAGAUAUCAUUGUCAAAGAAAUGAGAAUUAUUACAUCUUAAAAAGUUUUUAUAAUAGAAUUUUAUACUGUAAUAAAU
rnacentral:misc_RNA from 1 species